rnacentral:lncRNA from 1 species
AUCCAAAAACCCAUUGUUUGCAUAAUUGAACAGAAACGUUCCACUAUACAACUAAUUAAACCAGUCAUCAAUUCAAUUGUAACAAAGAAAGGAAUAGCGGAAGUAAAUAGCUAGGGUCACUUGUAUCUAAUAUAGACAACACAUAAUUAUAGAUUUUAAUCGAACAUAAAAUCGAUACUUAUCUCUUGAAGCGUGACCCGGAUAAUGCCCAGAAUUAGCGAAAUUCGUGUGUGCGAAUUACUCCUUAAUCUUCUCAAAGUGCUUCUUGAGACGGUAGAGUCUCGUGCUGAUAACGUGUUAUGAAAUAAUAUAAGAACAAGAACANN